rnacentral:rRNA from 1 species
ACGGCAUAGCUGGGUAGCUAUGUAUUGACUGGAUAAGUGCUGAAAGCAUCUAAGCAUGAAGCCCCCCUCAAGAUGAGAUUUCCCAACUUCGGUUAUAAGAUCCCUCGAAGAUGACGAGGUUAAUAGGUUCGAGGUGGAAGCGUGGUGACACGUGGAGCUGACGAAUACUAAUCGAUCGAAGACUUAAUCAAUUUUUAAA